CUGCUUCAUCUGUGCGCUGUAGUGCGUGCGUGAUUAUGUCAUGGCCAGAAUAAAAGGCAGAAACUCCAAACCCCUUGCCCCUUCCCCUCUUCUUCUCCCUCUUCUCCCUCUUCUCUUCCCUGUUUCCUCUCCAAUAAACCUCUUCUUGUGGAGCUCUGUUGGCCUGGUGUGAUCUGUCCAGAUACGGGCCUCCUUCUAACACAACAGUAACAGGAGCCACCCUGUCUAGCGAAAAGUUGGCAAUGUAUCCGCAAAGAAGAGUUCUCUUCAAGGACGCAGAGCCUUGUGAGUUGAAGCUGUCCUGUUUCUACUGCAGCCAAAUGCUUACAAAGAAGAGCUGUUGGGAGGAGACCCGCUCACUGUGGCAGUACUGCUCCUCUGGUCAUGUUUUAGAGGCUGCUACCUGGAAGGAUUUACUAUCCUCCAUGCGAAUAUAAUAAAGAGGUUCUAUGAUAUUCUUUGAAAAUCUAUAGAUUGAAUUUCUUAAGA
rnacentral:lncRNA from 1 species